GGGAAAAGGGUGCGGGUAGUCGCUGGAAUAGUGAUGGGGGAAGUGUUUGACGGAUGUUGAGUGGGGGAAGGGAGCGGAGACGGAUGGUCAAGUCUGAUGUGAAAACCCGGGGCUCAACCCCGUGACUGCAGUUGAAGCUGUUCAUAUAGAGUGCGGGAGAGGUAAGUGGAAUUCCUAGUGUAGCGGUGAAAUGCGUAGAUAUUAGGAGGAACACCAGUGGCGAAGGCGGCUUACUGGACAGUAACUGACGUUGAGGCUCGAAAGCGUGGGGAGCAAACAGGAUUAGAUACCCUGGUAGUC
rnacentral:rRNA from 1 species